rnacentral:rRNA from 1 species
ACGUAGGUGGCGAGCGUUAUCCGGAUUUAUUGGGCGUAAAGCGUGCGCAGACGGUUUACUAAGUCUAAGAUGAAAGCCCGAAGCUUAACUUCGGAUUGUUUUAGAAACUGGUAGGCUUGAGUAUAGUAGAGGCAAAUGGAAUUUCUAGUGUAGCGGUAAAAUGUGUAGAUAUUAGAAGGAACACCAGUGGCGAAAGCGAUUUGCUAGGCUAUUACUGACGUUCAUGCACGAAAGCGUGGGGAGCAAAUAG